rnacentral:lncRNA from 1 species
CUAUAAAAUAGCAGCAGAUUUGAACUGGUGCAGUCUCUACGAAAACGAUGUUUGUAUCUGCUCCUUCUGUUCAUAAAGGUUCCAAAGGGUCAGAUCCUGGUAAAUGAAACAAAACCUGAGUCCGAAGGAGCUUUCCUGUGAUAAACUGCAUUGAACCACAACUCAACUGGAUACUACCUUUGUCUUCUGUGGUGAUGAAUAUAAUAAAAUCAAAAGGCUGACAGUAAGAGCACACAGAGAGAAGCACGAGAGUUCUAAAAGCUACUUUUGCAAGCCCAGAUGUGAAAGCGUGGUGCAUAAUCUCUCCUGUUAACUUCUGUUUCUCUAAUAGAAAGGUGAAGGAAGGACAAUCCCAUUUUAUUUUAGUGGAUACAGAAGUACUACAGUUGUGCAUGAGCGUUCCUUGGGAUCUGGAAAAGGACCUUCAGAUCCCUUCAGGCUAUCCCAGUGGCCUUACUCUUGAAGAGGAGAGCGCAAGGAGCCUUCUCUUCUGCACCUAGAAUAAAAAGUGAGCACAUUCCUUCUGACUGGCA